rnacentral:rRNA from 1 species
GACGAACGCUGGCGGCGUGCUUAACACAUGCAAGUCGAACGGAAAGGCCCUGCUUUUGUGGGGUGCUCGAGUGGCGAACGGGUGAGUAACACGUGAGUAACCUGCCCUUGACUUUGGGACAACUUCAGGAAACUGGGGCUAAUACCGGAUAGGAGCUCCUGCUGCAUGGUGGGGGUUGGAAAGUUUCGGCGGUUGGGGAUGGACUCGCGGCUUAUCAGCUUGUUGGUGGGGUAGUGGCUUACCAAGGCUUUGACGGGUAGCCGGCCUGAGAGGGUGACCGGCAACAUUGGGACUGAGAUACGGCACAGACUCCUACGGGAGGCAGCAGUGGGGAAUAUUGCACAAUGGGCGGAAGCCUGAUGCAGCAACGCCGCGUGCGGGAUGACGGCCUUCGGGUUGUAAACCGCUUUCGCCUGUGACGAAGCGUGAGUGACGGUAAUGGGUAAAGAAGCACCGGCUAACUACGUG